rnacentral:lncRNA from 1 species
CCAUUUCCAACCGGGGUACCUGGGCGCGGGGUUAAGGACACACAUGUCUACUUUCUCGACAUCUCUGUGUGUCCCGUUACUAGGCCCAUGAGAUUCAGAUGCGAUUCAUUUCUUACCAUCGAAACUUCCACUUAAAGUUCUGCAAAAAGGAAGGAAAAAAGAGGGGUGAGUACGAAUACUCAGUGAAGCGAUUCUAGACCAGUUUCCCCAUGAGCCUCUAUACUGCUCAAUGCGAAACGAGAACCGACUAGCCACUACACCCAAUUCGAUACGACUCAUUUAUCCAGUUACUACGGAACCAUUUCACGAAAAACAAACAAUGUAAUGAACUCAGUCAUCACCCAAUUCACAUUAAUCGUUUUAAGACUCCAAUCAUCCUAGAACUCUAGGACCUACACAGCUCAAGCGGACCAACCCUCCUCUUUUCUUGCUGCAUUCCUGUGGAGCCGCCUGCCCUGGUACACUCGACAUCCGGUUACCUUGGAUGCAGUCUACCCCUUGCAGUAUAUUACAGCCCCUUCCCGCCAAGACUCGGCGUGACUCAAUCUUACUGGCGCCUCUAUUCUUACCCUGCCGUUUUUGAACGCUACGACCGCCGCGUUUCUUGUCUACCCACCCUUAUCCCCGGGUGGCUUACAACUCAUUCAAUUAACUUGCCUUUUUCCUUUCAUUUCCUUUUUCCUUAUCAUUUCCUUUUUCUUAUCCCUUAGGCUCAUUCAUUCUUUCCUUUUAGACGCCACCCGUUCUCGGUGCCACAGUCAAUUCAUUUAACAAUCAUUCACAGAUGUCCUACCAUUCAUACCCCAGACCGGUUAACUGUACUCUAAGAUCCUACGUUUAAUUCUUUCUAUACAUCC